rnacentral:rRNA from 1 species
GUCUACGGCCAUACCACCCUGAACGCGCCUGAUCUCGUCUGAUCUCGGAAGCUAAGCAGGGUCGGGCCUGGUUAGUACUUGGAUGGGAGAAAUGCUUGCUUUCUCAUGGUAAAAUUUCUAAUUUCCUUAAAGU